rnacentral:rRNA from 1 species
GAUGAACGCUGGCGGCGUGCCUAACACAUGCAAGUCGAACGGAGUCCAGCCUUUAAGACCUUCGGGUCAAAGAGGGGAAGACUGAGUGGCGGACGGGUGAGUAACACGUGGGCAACCUGGCUCAUAGAGGGGGAUAACAGAGAGAAAUUUCUGCUAAUACCGCAUAAGCACACACUGCCGCAUGGCAGAGGGUGAAAAGAGAAUCGCUAUGAGAUGGACCCGCGUCUGAUUAGCCAGUUGGCAGGGUAAGAGCCUACCAAAGCGACGAUCAGUAGCCGAUCUGAGGGGAUGAACGGCCACAUUGGGACUGAGACACGGCCCAAACUCCUACGGGAGGCAGCAGUGGGGGAUAUUGCACAAUGGGGGGAACCCUGAUGCAGCGACGCCGCGUGAGUGAAGAAGUAUUUCGGUAUGUAAAGCUCUAUCAGCAGGGAAGAUAAUGACAGUACCUGAAUAAGAAGCCCCGGCUAACUACGUG